rnacentral:lncRNA from 1 species
AGGUCGUGGCUUCCGGCGCAAGGCCGGGCGUUCGCUCAGUUCAGGCCGAAUGGCGGCCCCGCUGCUUCACACGCGCUUGUCGGGCGAUGUGACGGCAGCGGCCUCUGCCACGCUGAGUGCGUCGCGGACUGGGCUUUCCGAUAUGCUCGCGUUAGAGAGCGAUUUCUUCAAUUCUCCUCCGAAAAAAACUGUUCGGUUUGGCGGAACUGUGACAGAAGUCUUACUGAAAUACAAAAAGGUACGAGGAGGUGGGGUUUGACUUUGCUUAGUCAGAGUUUAAAAGGCAUUAAACCGAAGAGCAAAUUAUCAAGACUUUGGGUUCCUCCUCCUGAGUACAACCCCCCCCCCAAGACAGUAAAGAGAAUAAGAUGAACUUUAGCAUUUGUGUGUACGUUUAUUUAGGUUUCUCAGUGGUGGGGAUUGGAACUAGGACCUUAUCCACACCAGGAAAACAGGUCUAGUUGAGCUCCUACAUAGCCUAAAAAUAAAUUUUACACUGGGCUUGGAGGCUUGUGUCUUUAAUCCCGGCAUGUGAAGGCAGAAUCAGGUGGAUCCCUGAAUUUGAGACCAGCCAGGGAUAUAUACAGCCUCUGUGUAAAACAGUGGCCCUCAACCUUCCUAAGGCUCUGUGUGACCCUUUUAAUGCAGUUUCUCAUGCUGUGGCGACCCCCAACCAUAAAAUUAUUUUCUUUGCUACUUCAUAAGUGUAAUUUUGCUACUGUUAUGACUUAUAAUGCGACUCUCUGUGUUUUCUGGUGGCCUUAGGUGACCCCUGUGAAAGGGGGUCAACAGCCUCAGGUUGAGAACCGCCUGUCUAAAAAGAUGGGAUUGUGGGAAGUAUUUAGAUACCAUACUGAAAUAGAAUAUAUAGUGAUAUGCCUGAUACCGAAGCUUAAAGGUAACCAAAACAAGUGUGCUGAGAUUUUAGGACUUAAAAUGCUGUAUACAACUUGAAAACUAGCAAGUGCU